rnacentral:misc_RNA from 1 species
CGUAAAUCAAAAUUUCAAUCUCCAUGGCCUUGGUAGAAAAAUGUAAUUGUUCCCAUAAAUUUUCAAAUAUGUUACAUAGAGAUGCAUUGAACGCAACAGGAAACUCCUGAAUUAGUUUCCACACGUCGAGGGCAACGCAAGUGGUUCCAAAUGCCAAGAGUCUUCUGGUAUGCCAUGCUUGCCAAUUCCAAGCACUUUGAAAGCCAAAAUCCUAUGGGAAAAACUAAGUUUAUCUGCUCUAGAAACUCCAUGAAUCAGAUCCACUCCAUCACAUUGUCGCGCACGGAAGAAAGUCAAGCAACCUUUCACUUGUUCAAGGGUGGAUAUUGUCAUCCCAUCACCACCUUCUGAAAAGUCUGAUAGAAUUUGAACAAUUUGGCAUUGGUAACUUCUAUAAUCAGCCAUCUUCCACUUGGCAUUCCAGCCUUUGUACAUAGCCCAGGUUUCUCCUUUCAGUGGGUAAAUUUCGUAGGAAGAAUUGCUCGCGCUUUCUUUACACUUGACUAGAUAGGAGAAAAGUGACGUAUCAAUGUUGGCACUCCUUCCACCAACUUUAAAUAUCCCACACACCAUGGGAAGGUCUCUACUUAUCCACUCAAUCUCAUGGUCAAGAACGGGUAGAGGUUCUAAGAAUGUGACGUACACCUGUUUCUCCGAUGUUACAUUAUUUAUUCUGACAUAUUUCCGGGGCAUAAAAUCUUUUCCCCAGUACACAGCCCAUACUUGACCUGUGAUGAAGUCACAAUGAGACCAACUGGGCAUCAAAAUUUGGCUCUCUGGAGAUGAAUUAAAGGAAGGAAGUUCUGUAAAAGUGAAGUUCGAUAAUUUCCCUUUGUUUGCCACCUGUGCUUUCUGGGUGCUGGCAUCUUCAAUCAUAUAAUCUGGCAAGGCCAACUGAUCAAGCUCAAACAUCCCUUCAACAACCUUGUCAAGCUCUUCACCCUUGAACCUAUAGGCUGGAACAUUGUGAGAGAAAAUAUACAGAUUGUUUGGAGGAAUAUGAAAAGUGACAAGAUUUCCUCCGAUUUUGUGUCUCUCAAAGAUGAAUCUGAAACCAUCCACCUUUACCAAGCAUGCUCCAUAAGCCCCUAAAUAUUUUGAAAAAUCUGAUAUGAUUUCAAUUAUCUCAAAUUUGCAUCCUUUCGCGGAAUCAGGAUUGUAAGACCAAUAAUCAAGAUUCCAAUCCUUGUAAACUGCCCAAAUCUCACCUCUUUUUGGGUAUAUUUCAAACUGCUCCUUUGUGACACCACGAGCCCAAGGGCAUUUGUAGGAUGCGAUCACUGGCCAUCUGACCUGAAUAUUCAUGCGCAUCUCUGAACUCAAUUCAAAGGAGCCACAAGCAACAGGCAAGCCCGCAUUGCACCACCUUCUCUCACUAGAAGUAACAGGGAUUGGUUUCAACCAUGUUACACAUGUCGCUGCUUUUGAUAUUGAAUCAAUUUGAGCAUACCGAUAAUUAUGAUGCAGAUUAGCU